UAGGGAAUCUUCCACAAUGGACGCAAGUCUGAUGGAGCAACGCCGCGUGAGUGAAGAAGGUCUUCGGAUCGUAAAACUCUGUUGUUAGAGAAGAACACGAGUGAGAGUAACUGUUCAUUCGAUGACGGUAUCUAACCAGCAAGUCACGGCUAACUACGUCGCCCG
rnacentral:rRNA from 1 species